CGCUUGUGAUGCGCAGUCUCCGGACCUCCCACCGGCCUCGCUCAGCGCUGGGCAGAUAAGCGGAUAAGCCACGUGACGGCACAUGAAAGGCGUGGUGCGGGGCUCGGCAAUGAUAACCCGGUGGAGGGUGCUAUCUGGAGAGGAAGCCCUGUGCUAGGAGGUGGGGACAUGGUGGGAAAAAGAGCAACCCAGCUUCACAGAGGGGACAGUCCAGCCAAACCAUCCUUCAUUUGACUUUAUCAUUUGUUCCCUCAGUGAAUAAAUAUGUGCCAUGCUGUCAGCUCAUGGAAGCAGGCCCUCUUCACCUCAUCAGUCCUCAGUAAUCUGCCUUCAGACCCCUUGGGACUGGCUCCCGUCAACCCCUGUCAGCCUCUGCUGCCCACGGGGACCUGGAGGCCAAGCUGCUGAUUGGAGAUGGAGGCAGAUGGGAUGGGCAUGGGCAGGCUGGGCUCCCACACUGCC